rnacentral:rRNA from 1 species
CCUACGGGAGGCAGCAGUGGGGAAUAUUGGGCAAUGGGCGCAAGCCUGACCCAGCAACGCCGCGUGAAGGAAGAAGGCUUUCGGGUUGUAAACUUCUUUUCUCAGGGACGAAGAAAGUGACGGUACCUGAGGAAUAAGCCACGGCUCACUACGUGCCAGCAGCCGCGGUAAUACGUAGGUGGCAAGCGUUAUCCGGAUUUACUGGGUGUAAAGGGCGUGUAGGCGGGAAAGCAAGUCAGAUGUGAAAACCAUGGGCUCAACCUGUGGCCUGCAUUUGAAACUGUUUUUCUUGAGUACUGGAGAGGCAGACGGAAUUCCUAGUGUAGCGGUGAAAUGCGUAGAUAUUAGGAGGAACACCAGUGGCGAAGGCGGUCUGCUGAACAGCAACUGACGCUGAGGCGCGAAAGCGUGGGGAGCAAACAGGAUUAGAUACCCCUGUAGUC